rnacentral:misc_RNA from 1 species
AAGUCGUAACAAGGUUUCCGUAGGUGAACCUGCGGAAGGAUCAUUAACACCAAAAGUCAACACAAAAACGCCACGCCUUUGUCACAAAGGGCUGGCUUUUUGUGUUUUCUUCUUAACCCUCCUUUUGUGCGAACAUGUGUUUUCAUACUGUUUGGGGGGAUGCGUUGCUUUGCUGCUCUAUUAUAGCUCUCACAAGCUGUAGUAGCUGAAAAGUGGCCUUCCCUUUCUUUCAACCUUUUCUUAACCCCUUGAACUGUCUUUGACUGAACUUGGUCAUUUUUUCUUUUUUUGUUGUUUACACAACAAAAAAGCAAAAAGGACUAUACAUCCAACGCUGAACAACUCUUAGCAACGGAUAUCUUGGCUCUC